rnacentral:lncRNA from 10 species
AAGAGAAGAGAAGAAAUGCCAAUAUAUUAAAUGAAAAAAUUAGGGAAGAAUUAGGAAAAAUCGAAGAGCAACAAAAGAAAAAGUUAGAAGUGAAGCAACUUGAACUCACUCUCCGAAUAUACAAAAUAUGGAAUUGAAGACUGUAAGAAGUAAUUUGAAUCAGCUCAAUCAAUCGCUGCGAUGUAUGAAAGAUCUAAUUUCUCUACGGCCUCACCAGGCUGGAGUGCAGUGGUGCACUCUCAGCUCACUGCAAGCUCCACCUACCGGGUUCACGCCAUCCUCCUGCCUCAGCCUCCCGAGAAGCUGGGACUACGGACACCUGCCACCACGCCCGGCUAAUUUUUUGUAUUUUUUAGUAGAGAUGGGGUUUCACCAUGUUAGCCAGGAUGAUCUUGAUCUCCUGACCUCGUGAUCCACCCGCCUCAGCCUCCCAAAGUACUGGGAUUACAGGCGUGAGCCACCGUGCCCAACCAUUUGUCAUUUUUUAUUGUGGGUACACUAGUGGGUGUUAAGUCAUAUCUGCUUGUGGUUUUGAUUUUGCAUUUUCUUGAUGGCUUGUGAUGUUAGGCUUUUCUUCAAGCACUUAUUGGAUGCUCUUAUAUCUUCUUCACAAAAAUGUCUAUUUAAAUAUUUUGCCUAUUUUUAUGUAUUUUUUCUUUUUGUUGUUGAGUUGUAAAAGUUAUUUGUGCAUUUUGGAUACAGAUUUCUAAUCAAAUAUAUAAGUUGCAAACAUUUUC